AAUACCAACCAACAAUGACAUCAGAGGGAAUCCCCAGGCAAUGGAAGCCCGGAGUCUACCUGGGCCAUUUCUCAGACAAUCGGGCUGGAGCAGCAAUAACCAUGUGGAGAUCCAGGGCUAUCCUGAUCAAAGCCCUUGGCAGAAAUAGAGACUGGUGUCCCAGGAGCAAGAAGCAGAAAUGAUCACCACCAAAGUUCAUGCUGAGAAAGGUCCAUCACAUGUGGAAGAAAGUUCCUUCCUGUUCUUUAUGUUGUCCGCAUUUGUUGUUUCUUCCCUUAUACAUUUUAGCUAGUUUUGAUGGGGUCAGGUACCAAUUGUUUAUCAUUUUAUUAAAAAAAUCUCUAAGAUUGUAACACCAAUUUUUUUAAGCCAAUAGUCCACAUUUUUUCCAUUUAUCUACGUCUGUGUUGUGCCCGACAUUUUGUGCCCAUUUAAUUAUACAAUCCUUUGUCAGUUCUGUUUCCAUUUCCAUCUUCAAUACUUUAUAUAUUUUUUCAGUAAGGUGUUCUUUAUUAGUACACAGUUUCUUUUCAAAUUCCAAUUGCUCUCUUUCAAAUCCCAUAUUUUAAUAAAAAUGAUUAACUUGCA